rnacentral:rRNA from 1 species
AUUGAACGCUGGCGGCAUGCUUUACACAUGCAAGUCGAACGGCAGCGCGGGCUUCGGCCUGGCGGCGAGUGGCGAACGGGUGAGUAAUACAUCGGAACGUGCCCAGUAGUGGGGGAUAGCUCGGCGAAAGCCGGAUUAAUACCGCAUACGACCUGAGGGUGAAAGCGGGGGAUCUUCGGACCUCGCGCUAUUGGAGCGGCCGAUGGCAGAUUAGCUAGUUGGUGGGGUAAAGGCCUACCAUGGCGACGAUCUGUAGCUGGUCUGAGAGGACGACCAGCCACACUGGGACUGAGACACGGCCCAGACUCCUACGGGAGGCAGCAGUGGGGAAUUUUGGACAAUGGGCGAAAGCCUGAUCCAGCAACGCCGCGUGUGUGAUGAAGGCCUUCGGGUUGUAAAGCACUUUUGGCGGGAACGAAAAGGACUGUGCCAAUACCACGGUUCGAUGACGGUACCCGCAGAAUAAGCACCGGCUAACUACGUG